GAUGAACGCUGGCGGCGUGCCUAAUACAUGCAAGUCGAGCGAACGGACGAGAAGCUUGCUUCUCUGAUGUUAGCGGCGGACGGGUGAGUAACACGUGGAUAACCUACCUAUAAGACUGGGAUAACUUCGGGAAACCGGAGCUAAUACCGGAUAAUAUUUUGAACCGCAUGGUUCAAAAGUGAAAGACGGUCUUGCUGUCACUUAUAGAUGGAUCCGCGCUGCAUUAGCUAGUUGGUAAGGUAACGGCUUACCAAGGCAACGAUGCAUAGCCGACCUGAGAGGGUGAUCGGCCACACUGGAACUGAGACACGGUCCAGACUCCUACGGGAGGCAGCAGUAGGGAAUCUUCCGCAAUGGGCGAAAGCCUGGCGGAGCAACGCCGCGUGAGUGAUGAAGGUCUUCGGAUCGUAAAACUCUGUUAUUAGGGAAGAACAUAUGUGUAAGUAACUGUGCACAUCUUGACGGUACCUAAUCAGAAAGCCACGGCCAACUACGUG
rnacentral:rRNA from 1 species